CUUCCCCCUCUGCUUGCCUCUCACUGGGAGUGAGGAACGGCAGCAGGGUGAGGGCAGGGCUGGCGCGUGGGGGCGGAGGCACUUGAGGCGUGGGUGAGGGUGUGGGCGGCCAAGCAGCAGGUGGGCGGAGGAGUGGGCGUGAGUCGAGGCGCGUGGGGGAGGCAGCUGCAGAGGCGGAGGCCGGGCGCGGGGGAGGUGGCAGCCAGGUGGUGCGUGCAUGGUUGAGGCGGCCGGGCAUGGUUGAGGCGGAGGCAGAGCAGGAUGGACGCAGGCGGAGGCUAGGCUGGUGCCGACCGGGCGGUAACACCAACCGGAACUAAAGGACCCCUCUUUUGUCUUGAAAAAAAUUAUCCCGGAUGGUUUUGGGAGAAAUUUGAGGCCUACCAACCGGAACUAAAGUCUGAAGGACCUGAGAUAGGGAAUCGGAGCCUGGGUGCCCAUGCCGCUGGUGCCACAAAUCCACCGAGGUUGUUGACGAAGCAGUGAAUGCCUGAGCUUGUGGCAGCAACAGUGGGUAAAGGUCACCCUGACUCUAACUGCAGAGCUUCACCAUGCGCGUUUUAAGAAAUGAGGAUGUUGUUGAGGAGCAGUGGUGAAGAAUAAAUCAGCAACAAAGGGCUAGCGGUGUGGGUGAUAGGAAGUUGAGUGCCGUUGCCAAUAGUGAUAAAAGAGGAGAUACUUAAAGGACGAGGAGAAGCAAGUAUACUAGGCAUGGAGGACAUGUGUGUAGAUGCUCUCGUGUCAAAGUACCACUCAGCAAUGCUUGGAGGAAGCGGAGUGGCGAAGCUGGCGGACUGCAAGGCGCUAUAGAGGGUGCUAUUGACCCAGGAGCCAUUGUUGGAGUCGACUAGGGUAGGGAGGUGAUGCUAGUGUUGGGCCAUCAUCGGAAGGUAACUGAUACUAUGUAAUAGGAAAUUGGAUCAACCACACUUGUAUUGAUCUGUUUAGACUCAUAUGUAUAUACAUGUACACA